GACAGACGAAGGCAUUUUACCAAAAAAAGUACGCCGAUUUAAGUCUCUUCGUCUUAUCGUGAUGCAGAAAUAAUGUGUGCAGUUUGGAUGCAACUGGUUGUCAAAUAUGUUGUACCGGCAUAGGAAGAUUAGUUGAUAGAAGGAAUGUAAACACAUCACGCACUUGUCCUUUUCAUCUGGCGAUCUGCUCUGGGAGACGAUUUGAAUGGAUCGUUCAUUUUUAUGUUUUAAAGUUCUGUAUUCAUAUGUUAAGUGUAUAUCUGGAUGGAAUUGAACCGACUUCCUUAUGGUUCCUAUUACAUGGAGAACCUAGUAAACCAAAGGCCAAGCUGAUGCCAAGCUUCAGUGUAAAACUUUGAGCAGGUGCCAGGUAAUUUGCAUUUACAAAUCCAAACAUUUUAAAACUUGAGUUGGACAACAUUGUCAUGUUAAUUAUGCCCCAACAGCUUGUUGGCAAAACAGCCGUUCAUUGAAUUAUGCCCCACGACACCAGCAUUGUCUGUCUGGCAAAACAGAAAAUCAUGCUGUUAGAUGUCAUAGUAAUCUAAACUAGAUACAUGUAUGAAAAAAAUGAUUAUUUAAAAAAUAAUCCAGGUCUGUCAGUUUAUAUGUUUGUAAUAAUUUAGGAACAAACACCCAAGUCAAGGCAAAAAACAAAUACAAACAUAUUGAUAACAAUUGCAAGAAAGCAUUAAACAAAAGUGCAGUAGAACUAAAUAGGAAAACAUGCAUGCUAUCAGACAAUUGAGGGAUUCAAGCCAAGGCUACCCUUCAACAUGUUCAAAAGUUGAAUUGCCAUGGUACACAUACAAUGUACAUGUAUGAUCAUCAUGUAGCAUGAACCAUCAAUGGCUGUUAAACUUGUCACAUUGACACAGACACUGCCACAACACUAAUUAAUUGAUACAUGUAUAUACUAGCAUGACUAUAGUAAUAUAUAUUUGAUAAUAUCCAUCUAAAAAUCAUCUGAUAAUUUAAUCAGUAUUUGAUUAAAAGUCAAAUGCUCAUGUACAUGAUGUAGGAUACAAAGAAACAUAAAUAAAGAGCAAACAAACAAAUGUACAUGUAUAUAUCUGGGAGUUUUUUCUGUUUAAUUUCUAUGAAUGUAAGAAGAAGUUGAUACUUUACAUGUACAAAACAAUGUACGUGUACUUCCCAUUUUAAUCUGAUAUCCAUACUAUAAUUAAUUUUUUUUUAUACAAUAACUAGUCGAAAAAUUUAAAUACAGACAAAUAUUCAACGACUGAGCGAAUAAGACACAAGUUCACCAAGGUGCAUUGUCCCUGAGUAAAUUUUCAGCGUUGUAAGGUCACACAAGUUGUAAAGCUUUUCAAUAUUUGAAUUCUUUGAUUAUUUAUUCUUUUUAUUACAUCAUGUACAUGUACAUUGGCAAAUAGCAUUUUUACAACAAAUAUUAUUCAUUUAUAAAAUGUAUGUGUUUUUUAAUAUAUGUCCAGUUUUCACUUUAUUAUAUUUGGUAAGAAAAUUUGUAUUAUAAACUAACAAACAUCAUUUGUACAUACAUACAUGUACAAAUGAUGUACAUGUACAUUGUACUGCUACAUAUAUACAUUCCUUAUCUAUGUGCUAUCAAAAUGAAGAACAUUUUUGUAACAGAAAUUAUAUAUUUCAUUUUUUAGAGAAACCAUCCUUGUUAAAGAUGUGACAUUAAUCCCUCCAAACCUACAAAACACAAUUGAUAAGGUAAGUUGCAGAUUAUCUGAGAUAUUUUUGAUUAUCAUCCCAAGAAAUGUAGCAUACAUGUAUUACUCUUCUUUCAUUUAUAUGAUAAUGAAGAUACAUGUAUCUUGUAAUUUGUACAGUUGUAUAUGUAUUUCUGCCAUCUGUCACUGUUAAUUUAAAUGUACAUUAGGGGUCAGUAAAUAAUCAAAACAUGAUACAUGUAUAAAGACUAAUGGUGUGUAUUUUCAUUAAAUAAUACACAGGUUUUUUUUUUGUGUUCAGAUUGAUAGCAAUUUUGUUGUCAAUUGUUGUAGUGUCAUAAUAAACUGUCAUUGUCUAAAUGAAUGAAAUAAAUGGUUGUACCUAAAAUUAUUUGAAACAUGUCUGAACUUAACUUAUAUAUAGAUACAAUUUACAUUGUAUUAUAACCAAUUUUUAUUUACAUUUGUAUAUCUAUAUGUACAUGUACAUGAUCAAUGUAUCAAUGAUGACAAGGAACUUUUUAUUUAAAUUUCAGAGAUGCUAAUUAACCUUGUUAAUGACUGUGGAGAACUUAUGCUACAUUUACCUAAUACACAGACAAACACAGAUGGGCAUAGGUAAUAAAUAGAGCAGUUUUCUAAGAUACAUGUUCAUGUUUAUUGUUAUAUCAUGUAUAUUAUGCCUUGUCUUUAAAAAAUAUAGAUAUGAAACAUGAACACAUAUGUACAUGUUCCAUGUUUACAUGUAUUAGAGAGUUAUCUAACCUGUUUAAAAGCUGAUAACUACUUAGUACUAUCAAAAUUUUAGUCUAUUUGUUUCUCUAUUUGUCCAUGAUUUAUCUUAUAAUGGAUAGAGUUUGAAAAUUAAAUCUAUAAAGUUGGAUAAAAUAUUCAUAAUGCUUGCAUUGGUACAAAGCCAUUUUGAAAAUAAGAAGAUGUGGUAUGAUUGCCAAUAUGAAAACUCUCCCCAAUACAUGUACUUCACAUGACAUAUAAAGGAACCACUUUAAGUCACCAUACAACCUUACACAAUAAGACAAACCCAUACUACAUAAUCAGCUAUAAAUUUAAACAAUUCAAAGGAGAAGACUAAAUACAACUACUGAAUUAUUGGUUAUACAGCAUUAAAAUACAACUACUGAAUUACUGGUUCCUGACUUGGGACAGGCACAUACAGAAUGUGGCAGGGAUAAACUAGAUUGAACUUUAUUAAAAAAUUACCCAUUAUCAAACUAAAAAUGCCUAUUACUAAGUGAACUCAGAUUACUCUGCUGUUUACAUAUUUGUUAAACUAUAAUUUGCUUCUUGUAGAAAUUAGCCUGUGAGAUCAAGAUGCAGAUAUAUCCACCAGAUACCAAAUGCCACACCAAAGCAGACAUUUUCAAAUGUUGAGAGACCUAUGAAUACAUCUACAUCCUUCUUCGGACUUUGAAACAACUGAUUGAGUAUGUUAGCUAACAUUUAAUCAAUUAUGUUUGAACAGUGCUACACAACAGCCUGGGUGGAUUUUGCUUUUUCCACCGGCCCACUCCAACUUUAAUCUCUUUUUUGUUAAAAUAUUGAUAUCUAAUGCUUAUCUGCUUUUUUUCAAUUGAUUGUACUUGCAAGUCUUUUGAUUAAACAAAAGAAAUUGCAUGCCCACUUCCUAUGGGUGGGCAGAGUUGACAAGCUAGAAAGUUUGCCCACUCCCACUGUGGACGGGUGGACAACGCAAAAUCCACCUGAGCUGUAGUGUAUAUUUGAAAGUCAAUGACUUCUAUUAAAAAAAAGAAAAAAGAAAUCUAGAACUUUACAAUCUUUUUUUUUAAUGCCCCUAUUUAUAUACAAAAGAAGAUGUCAUAUGAUUGCCAAAGAUACAACUCUCCACAAGAAACCAAGUGACACAGAAAUUAACAGCUACAGGUCAUUGUAAGGCCUUCAACAAUGAGCAAAGCCCAUACCGCAUAUUCAGCUAUAAAAGGCACUGAAAUGACAAAUGAAAUAUUAUGCAUGGUGGGGGUGAAAUAAAAAGUGUCUUCUGACCCCUGAUUCCCCUACAUUUAUUUCUGGAACAUCCCUCAGUGUUGCAACACAUAAACACAUUUGGUAGUCAGAUUGCUUUCAACCAUAUACUAUAGUGAUAGUUUUCUUCUUCAGAAUGCUAAAUUUAAAAGUUUUAAUUAAUUUGUGAUGAAUUUUCUUUUUUACUUCCAGUUAGGCAAGAUGUUAUCUCUCAUAUCAAAGAGAUGGAAUAUGAAACUGAGAGCCAGUAUUGAUAUAAUGUGGUACUAAAAGCUCCAAUACCAUCAGGGGCUGAAGACAUAACAGGUAUUGUGUGGAAUUUGACCAACCUUAGACUAAAGAGAAAAGUUGUUGCUGCAUUACAGAUAUUUUGAACUCAGCAAUUUUUAUUAAUGUUUUUAAUGUUAAUUCUCUCUCUUAUGAAUAAUAUGAUAUCUAUACUUGCAAUGAGCAUGAAUUGAAAGUUCCUCAUGUCUGUAAAACUGUUUUCCCUUGACAUUGACCACAUUUCAUGGAUCCGUGAAAAAAGUUAUGUACCCAUGGUCAAGUCCAUGUAUCAGAUUAAAAAAGCAAUAGGUCUGCUUAAUUUGGUAUACUGUAUGAUUGAUCCUGAUCUCAUUGUCAUGCUUUAUUGAUCAAUGUUAAUAUUCAAAAGAUUUAAUAUUGAUUGUAC
rnacentral:lncRNA from 1 species